AGGUGUAGAGAGAGAGAGAGAGACAGAGAGAGAGAGAGAGAGAGACACACACACACACAAAGACAGUGAGCGACAGACGAGAGAGAAAGAGAGAGAGACCCCGUGGGCACAACUUAGACACUGAAACAGUCAUCAUCUUCCAAGGACCAGAACAACACAGGUGAGAGAGACAAGAGAUUCUGACCAUGGCGUCGUUCGAACCUCAGGGCCAGUCUCCUCCUUGCUGUGGCCCCCAGUUCCCCAGCUUGGGCCAGGAACCUCCAGAACUCAGCAUGUACAGUGACUGCUACUAUCCUCCGCCAUCGCUCCCCAGCCCCCAGCGCACCCCCGACACCUCCUACGACUACAGUACCUCCUCCCCCAACCCUUACCUGUGGUUCAACGGAUCCAGCAUCAACGCUCCCCCUUACCUGGCCACUGCCGGGCCUCCAGGUAACCCCGGGCCCCCCUUCGUCCCCCAGCACUACGGAAUGCAGAGGCCCUACCUGGGGUCCAGCGGGGCGGGGGUCCCUGGGGGGGAGCUGGGCUGGUUCUCUCUGCCCUCACAGGAAGACCUGAUGAAGCUGGUACGCCCGCCCUACUCCUACUCUGCCCUCAUCGCCAUGGCGAUCCACGGCGCCCCGGAGCGUCGGCUGACCCUGAGUCAGAUCUACCAGUAUGUGGCCGAUAACUUCCCCUUCUACAACAAGAGCAAAGCUGGCUGGCAGAACUCGAUCAGGCACAACCUGUCACUUAACGACUGCUUCAAGAAGGUCCCCAGAGACGAGGACGAUCCUGGUAAGGGUAACUACUGGACACUGGACCCAAACUGUGAGAAGAUGUUUGACAAUGGAAACUUCCGUCGUAAGAGGAAGAGGAAGUCUGAUUCGCUGUCUGGAGGAGAGGGGGAGUCAGUAGGGCUGGAGUCAGGUGAUCCCAAUGACCGGGGGAGUCCCCAACCCCCCAGCAACCAUGGGAUCGACAUGUCCCCCACGCCAGAGAGAAUCCCCUCCCCUUCCUCCUCAGGUACCGCCCCUUGCCUGAGCAGCUUCCUGUCUGAGAUGUCUGGAGUGGCAUCUGGGGGAGCCAAUGUUAUCGGAGGAGAUUCGCUGAACCAUGCCCUGCCCAUAACCCUUACCCUGGACGGGACCCAGAGGCCUACACAGCCUGGGGGUUUUGGUAGUUACUGCCCUAGCUCAGGUGCUUCGGAGUGGGCUUCCCAGCUAUCGCCUCCUGGCCUCUCCUCCUCGCCCACCCACUCCUCCCUGGGUUACAGCAGCCCCAUCCUCAGCCAGUUCAAUGGGCAUUUCUACCCUGGCUUGGGCUCAGCAAAUAUCCUAUACCCACGGGAAGGCACAGAGGUCUGAAUAGACUGAUAGAGAGGGAGACAGGGAUGGGCAGAAGACAACUAGAGGUCUGAAUAGACUGAUAGAGGGGGAGACAGGGAUGGGCAGAAGACAACUAGACGUCUGAAUAGACUGAUAGAGGGGGAGACAGGGAUGGGCAGAAGACAACUAGAGGUCUGAAUAGACUGAUAGAGGGGGAGACAGGGUUGGGCAGAAGACAACUAGAGGUCUGAAUAGACUGAUAGAGGGGGAGACAGGGAUGGGCAGGAGACAACUAGAGGUCUGAAUAGACUGAUAGAGGGGGAGACAGGGAUGGGCAGGAGACAACUAGAGGUCUGAAGAGACUGAUAGAGGGGGAGACAGGGUUUGGCAGAAGACAACUAGAGGUCUGAAGAGACUGAUAGAGGGGGAGACAGGGUUUGGCAGAAGACAACUAGAGGUCUGAAGAGACUGAUAGAGGGGGAGACAGGGUUUGGCAGAAGACAACUAGAGGUCUGAAGAGACUGAUAGAGGGGGAGACAGGGUUUGGCAGAAGACAACUAGAGGUCUGAAUAGACUGAUAGAGAGGGAGACAGGGAUGGGCAGGAGACAACUAGACGUCUGAAGAGACUGAUAGAGGGGGAGACAGGGUUUGGCAGAAGACAACUAGAGGUCUGAAGAGACUGAUAGAGAGGGAGACAGGGAUGGGCAGGAGACAACUAGACGUCUGAAGAGACUGAUAGAGGGGGAGACAGGGAUGGGCAGGAGACAACUAGAGGUCUGAAUAGACUGAUAGAGAGGGAGACAGGGAUGGGCAGGAGACAACUAGACGUCUGAAGAGACUGAUAGAGAGGGAGACAGGGUUGGGCAGAAGACAACUAGAGGUCUGAAUAGACUGAUAGAGGGGGAGACAGGGAUGGGCAGAAGACAACUAGAGGUCUGAAGAGACUGAUAGAGGGGGAGACAGGGAUGGGCAGAAGACAACUAGACGUCUGAAGAGACUGAUAGAGGGGGAGACAGGGUUGGGCAGAAGACAACUAGAGGUCUGAAGAGACUGAUAGAGAGGGAGACAGGGAUGGGCAGGAGACAACUAGAGGUCUGAAGAGACUGAUAGAGGGGGAGACAGGGAUGGGCAGAAGACAACUAGACGUCUGAAGAGACUGAUAGAGGGGGAGACAGGGUUGGGCAGAAGACAACUAGAGGUCUGAAGAGACUGAUAGAGAGGGAGACAGGGAUGGGCAGAAGACAACUAGAGGUCUGAAGAGACUGAUAGAGAGGGAGACAGGGUUGGGCAGAAGACAACUAGAGGUCUGAAGAGACUGAUAGAGAGGGAGACAGGGAUGGGCAGAAGACAACUAGAGGUCUGAAGAGACUGAUAGAGAGGGAGACAGGGAUGGGCAGAAGACAACUAGACGUCUGAAGAGACUGAUAGAGAGGGAGACAGGGUUGGGCAGAAGACAACUAGAGGUCUGAAGAGACUGAUAGAGGGGGAGACAGGGAUGGGCAGAAGACAACUAGACGUCUGAAGAGACUGAUAGAGAGGGAGACAGGGAUGGGCAGAAGACAACUAGACGUCUGAAGAGACUGAUAGAGGGGGAGACAGGGAUGGGCAGAAGACAACUAGAGGUCUGAAUAGACUGAUAGAGAGGGAGACAGGGAUGGGCAGGAGACAACUAGAGGUCUGAAGAGACUGAUAGAGAGGGAGACAGGGAUGGGCAGAAGACAACUAGACGUCUGAAGAGACUGAUAGAGAGGGAGACAGGGAUGGGCAGAAGACAACUAGACGUCUGAAGAGACUGAUAGAGGGGGAGACAGGGAUGGGCAGGAGACAACUAGAGGUCUGAAUAGACUGAUAGAGAGGGAGACAGGGAUGGGCAGGAGACAACUAGAGGUCUGAAGAGACUGAUAGAGAGGGAGACAGGGAUGGGCAGAAGACAACUAGAGGUCUGAAGAGACUGAUAGAGGGGGAGACAGGGAUGGGCAGGAGACAACUAGAGGUCUGAAGAGACUGAUAGAGGGGGAGACAGGGAUGGGCAGGAGACAACUAGACGUCUGAAGAGACUGAUAGAGGGGGAGACAGGGAUGGGCAGGA